rnacentral:rRNA from 1 species
UACGUAGGGUGCGAGCGUUAAUCGGAAUUACUGGGCGUAAAGCGUGCGCAGGCGGUCUGUUAAGACAGAUGUGAAAUCCCCGGGCUCAACCUGGGAACUGCAUUUGUGACUGCACAGCUGGAGUGCGGCAGAGGGGGAUGGAAUUCCGCGUGUAGCAGUGAAAUGCGUAGAUAUGCGGAGGAACACCGAUGGCGAAGGCAAUCCCCUGGGCCUGCACUGACGCUCAUGCACGAAAGCGUGGGGAGCAAACAGG